rnacentral:rRNA from 1 species
UACAGGGGGGGCAAGCGUUGUUCGGAAUCACUGGGCGUAAAGGGAGCGUAGGCGGGCUCUUAAGUUGGAUGUUUAAAACCGGGGCCCAACCCCGGCGUGGCAUCCAAAACUGGGAGUCUUGAAUGGAACAGAGGCUAGUGGAAUUGGAGGUGUAGCGGUGGAAUGCGUAGAGAUCUCCAAGAACACCCGUUGCGAAGGCGGCUAGCUGGGUUCACAUUGACGCUGAGGCUCGAAAGCGUGGGGAGCAAACAGG